rnacentral:tRNA from 1 species
AAAAAAUUAGUUAAAUAAAUAACAUUAGUUUGUCAAACUAAAAUUAUCACUUUAUUGAUAUUUUUUA